rnacentral:rRNA from 1 species
UGGGGAAUAUUGCACAAUGGGGGAAACCCUGAUGCAGCGACGCCGCGUGAGUGAAGAAGUACUUCGGUAUGUAAAGCUCUAUCAGCAGGGAAGAAAAUGACGGUACCUGACUAAGAAGCCCCGGCUAACUACGUGCCAGCAGCCGCGGUAAUACGUAGGGGGCAAGCGUUAUCCGGAUUUACUGGGUGUAAAGGGAGCGUAGGUGGUUUGGUAAGUCAGGUGUGAAAGCCCGGGGCUCAACUCCGGGAUUGCACUUGAAACUAUCAAACUAGAGUGCAGGAGAGGUAAGUGGAAUUCCUAGUGUAGCGGUGAAAUGCGUAGAUAUUAGGAGGAACACCAGUGGCGAAGGCGGCUUACUGGACUGUAACUGACACUGAGGCUCGAAAGCGUGGGGAGCAAACA